rnacentral:rRNA from 1 species
AGAGUUUGAUCAUGGCUCAGGAUUAACGCUAGCGGCAGGCCUAAUACAUGCAAGUUGAACGGGAUUAAGUAGCAAUACUUAUGAGAGUAGCGCACGGGUGCGUAACGCGUAUGCAAUCUACCUUUAACUGGGGAAUAGCCCAAAGAAAUUUGGAUUAAUACCGCAUAAUAUAAUUGAAUGGCAUCAUUUGAUUAUCAAAACUACGGUGGUUAAAGAUGAGCAUGCGUGACAUUAGCUAGUUGGUGAGGUAAUGGCUCACCAAGGCUCCGAUGUCUAGGGGGUCUGAGAGGAUGAUCCCCCACACUGGUACUGAGACACGGACCAGACUCCUACGGGAGGCAGCAGUAAGGAAUAUUGGUCAAUGGACGCAAGUCUGAACCAGCCAUGCCGCGUGCAGGAUGACUGCCCUAUGGGUUGUAAACUGCUUUUGUACGGGAAGAAACCCCUCUACGUGUAGAGGGUUGACGGUACCGUAAGAAUAAGGAUCGGCUAACUCCGUGCCAGCAGCCGCGGUAAUACGGAGGAUCCAAGCGUUAUCCGGAUUUAUUGGGUUUAAAGGGUGCGUAGGCGGCCUAUUAAGUCAGUGGUGAAAGCCUGGAGCUUAACUCCAGAACUGCCAUUGAUACUGAUGGGCUUGAGUACAGUUGAGGUUGGCGGAAUGUGUCAUGUAGCGGUGAAAUGCUUAGAUAUGACACAGAACACCGAUUGCGAAGGCAGCUAGCUAAACUGUAACUGACGCUGAGGCACGAAAGCGUGGGUAGCAAACAGGAUUAGAUACCCCGGUAGUCC